rnacentral:rRNA from 1 species
GACGAACGCUGGCGGCGUGCCUAAUACAUGCAAGUAGAACGCUGAAGAGAGGAGCUUGCUCUUCUUGGAUGAGUUGCGAACGGGUGAGUAACGCGUAGGUAACCUGCCUUGUAGCGGGGGAUAACUAUUGGAAACGAUAGCUAAUACCGCAUAACAAUGGAUGACACAUGUCAUUUAUUUGAAAGGGGCAAUUGCUCCACUACAAGAUGGACCUGCGUUGUAUUAGCUAGUAGGUGAGGUAACGGCUCACCUAGGCGACGAUACAUAGCCGACCUGAGAGGGGGAUCGGCCACACUGGGACUGAGACACGGCCCAGACUCCUACGGGAGGCAGCAGUAGGGAAUCUUCGGCAAUGGGGGCAACCCUGACCGAGCAACGCCGCGUGAGUGAAGAAGGUUUUCGGAUCGUAAAGCUCUGUUGUAAGUCAAGAACGAGUGUGAGAGUGGAAAGUUCACACUGUGACGGUAGCUUACCAGAAAGGGACGGCUAACUACGUG